UGGGGAAUUUUGGACAAUGGGCGAAAGCCUGAUCCAGCAAUGCCGCGUGUGUGAAGAAGGCCUUCGGGUUGUAAAGCACUUUUGUCCGGAAAGAAAUCCUUGGCUCUAAUACAGUCGGGGGAUGACGGUACCGGAAGAAUAAGCACCGGCUAACUACGUGCCAGCAGCCGCGGUAAUACGUAGGGUGCAAGCGUUAAUCGGAAUUACUGGGCGUAAAGCGUGCGCAGGCGGUUUGCUAAGACCGAUGUGAAAUCCCCGGGCUCAACCUGGGAACUGCAUUGGUGACUGGCAGGCUAGAGUAUGGCAGAGGGGGGUAGAAUUCCACGUGUAGCAGUGAAAUGCGUAGAGAUGUGGAGGAAUACCGAUGGCGAAGGCAGCCCCCUGGGCCAAUACUGACGCUCAUGCACGAAAGCGUGGGGAGCAAACAGGAUUAGAUACCCUGGUAGUCCACGCCCUAAACGAUGUCAACUAGUUGUUGGGGACUUCAUUUCCUUAGUAACGUAGCUAACGCGUGAAGUUGACCGCCUGGGGAGUACGUCGCAAGAUUAAAACUCAAUGAAUUGACGGGGUCAUAGCUGUUUCCU
rnacentral:rRNA from 1 species